GGAAACAGGAUUUAACAUUUAUUUCAACCAGUUCCAAAGUUCAUCUCACAUUUCCUUGACCAUUUGUGUAAUCAAUUUGUUAGCACUCAGUAGAAACUAGGAAAAAUGGAUCUGAUCUUUCUUUUACAUUUCAUGUAAUUACUUCUAUUUAGCAGAGGUGGAACAGAUUCUGCAAACCCUAGCAGAUUUUUUAUAAACAAAAUUAUGUAGUGAUUCCCAAAAGGAGGAUUAGAAUUGAACUCCUGUAGGAAAAUUACCUCUCUGCUUUGUUUUUAGGACAUGUAAAAAUUACUUCGACAUUUGCUUUUGCCAGCAGAGGAGUCCAUUAAAUACAAUGAAUCUCUUUGCUCAUGUUAGGAAGAGGAUGAUAGAGAAGAUGACCCUUUCUAAAGGUAGGUGCUGUGCAUCAGACUGGUGAGCAAGGUAAGAAAGUGUAACAACUUUUCUUUCUUUUCUUUCUUAGUCUGAUCUUAAAACAAACUUAAUGACAGCUUUGAAUUGAUUGAAACUCUGCCCAGUGCAAAAAUAGAAAGUCCUAACCAACUAAAGGAACUUCCAUUCACUUUGGCAUGAAGUACAUAUGAGGCCAGUUUUGUGCAUUUAUUUUACUUUCCCAGUGUAAACAGUUAUUUUCUGAACAGCUUACCACCCAUUUGUUGAUUGUUUAUAACGGGGUCUUUCUUAAUGUCUAUAAAUCUCUCUUAGAGUGAAUGGUUUUUGAAAGCCUUGGCUUAGAAUAUGUGAGUUUCUGCUGGCGUUCAAGUUCAGGAUGCCUUUUUUUAAGUAAGUAAGUGACUUUCCUAGAAAGAAAGAAAGAAAGUCAACAGGAAGGGAUAAAAAAUCUUUUCUGAUUGAACUUAACUUUCUGAUUGGGGCGAGGAUUCAGGUUUGUGAAAUUAAGAAAGGGCUGGCAGGUUCUUGACAAGGAAAAGUUGAGGAUUCCCUUUUUCUCACCCUCUUGGCCUCCUGUUCAAGAAGGUUCGUAUGUCUUGUUGUUUUUCUUUACCUUUUUUUUUUUUUUUUUUUUAAAUUAAUUUUUUAAAUUAAGACAAAGAGCAGAAGUCAGGAAACAGAAGAUGUAUCAAAUUCCAGUGAACUGUGUUUUAGUGUCAGAUGUUGGGCAUACACUGUUGAAAAUAAGUACAUAGAUCUAUUUUAAUAACUGCUUUAAUUUAAAAAAAAAAAAAGUUUUAAAUUAUAAAUACUAUGGAUUGCAAACAACAUAAGACAAAGCAAAUCAUACGGUAAUAGAUACAUGCCCACCUAUAUACUGUAAAUCAAAUAUAUGCUGCUACAGAGUAGAAAUCCAUUAUUUUUUGAAAGUUAGUGAGUAUUUCCAAAUAGAUGUUGCAUUGCUGAGGCCAUUCUAGGCUAAUAGGAAGAGUACUUGAAUUGUUCAGCGGUAAUCUCUUCAGUAC
rnacentral:lncRNA from 1 species